AGCAAAGCCAUAUCACCCUGUAGCCCAAGACUGGUUGCCCACUGAAGCUAAGCAGGGUUGAGGCUGGUCAGUACCUGGAUGGGAGACCUCCUGGGAAAACUAAGUUGCUGUUGGAA
rnacentral:rRNA from 1 species